rnacentral:sRNA from 1 species
GCUGGGCGCAGUGGCGCACGCCUGUGAUCCCAGCAGCUCCGGAGGCUGAGGCAGGAGGAUCGUGAGUUCAAAGCCAGCCUCAA